UUGAAACACCAGUUCCCAUAUGAUCACUGAAGUUAAGCAACAUUGAGCCUGAUCAGUACUGAGAGAAUUAACUGCUUGGGAAUACCAGAUGCU